rnacentral:rRNA from 1 species
UACGAAGGGGGCUAGCGUUGCUCGGAAUCACUGGGCGUAAAGCGCACGUAGGCGGAUUGUUAAGUCAGGGGUGAAAUCCUGGAGCUCAACUCCAGAACUGCCUUUGAUACUGGCGAUCUUGAGUCCGGGAGAGGUGAGUGGAAUUCCGAGUGUAGAGGUGAAAUUCGUAGAUAUUCGGAGGAACACCAGUGGCGAAGGCGGCUCACUGGCUCGGUACUGACGCUGAGGUGCGAAAGCGUGGGGAGCAAACAGG